GUGCUCGGUUGGGCAGCACAUAUAUUAAAAUUGGAAAGAUACAGAGAUUAGCAUGGCCCCUGCACAAGGAUGAAAC
ensembl:snRNA U6 U6 spliceosomal RNA